GGCGGCGGCGGCUGGGGCGGGCGGCGCGCCGAGUCUCCGCGGCGACUGCGGCCACUGCGUGCGGCCGCCAACCUGCCCGGCGACCUCCCGGUCCUCCUGCCCGCCGCGGGGAGGCCGUCGCGGAGCCGGCCCUGAGACCUUCGCUCCGCGCCCCGCCGGGAGGUGAUCCCCAACCGAGCACUGCGGGGUGCGUGCCGUCGGGGACCGCUGCGCUGCUGGCCCAGCGCAAGGGAACCUUGCACGGGACUUGGGGACGUUCCGCACAGCUCCCAGCAAUGUUUGGAUUUGGGGGACCGAGGGGCGCUGCUGUCACAAAUCCCUCGCACGGAGAGGCGACUGUCCGGAACCCCCGGAACCCCCCCCCCCCAAGACCUGGUCCCACGGCAGAGGGCGGUGACGCGGUCUCUCCCGGGAGCUGCAGCAGGAGUCGCGAGGCAGGGACACCUCAGUCUGCAGGAGGAGGAGCCGUGGAGGGAGAAGGUGGCUGCGAGGGGCCUCACUCCGUCCGCUUCACCUCAGAGCCGGGAGGUCCCCGAGGCCUGGGAGCGCAACCGCUGAGCAAGAGGAUUCCAUCCAGUUGGAGACAAAUAGAGGUCAUCUGGGAGCCCCCUGCACCUGGCACUGGCUCCCACCCGCCAGCCUGUCCCCUGCCGAGGUCCGGGCAGGUCCCGCAUGCUGCGAAGCGCUUUCUGCUCAGGCAGCUGCGUGUCUCUCCAGGAACCGACGUGGAGGUGCCCGCGCCAGGUGGUUCCAUACCUCACUCCCAGGAGAAAAAAGGAGGGUGUCACCGCGAACUGCUCUGCGGAGGAAGAUAA
rnacentral:lncRNA from 12 species